rnacentral:rRNA from 1 species
ACGGCGAGUGAGCGGCAAAAGCUCAAAUUUGAAAUCUGGUACCUUCGGUGCCCGAGUUGUAAUUUGGAGAGGGCAACUUUGGGGCCGUUCCUUGUCUAUGUUCCUUGGAACAGGACGUCAUAGAGGGUGAGAAUCCCGUGUGGCGAGGAGUGCGGUUCUUUGUAAAGUGCCUUCGAAGAGUCGAGUUGUUUGGGAAUGCAGCUCUAAGUGGGUGGUAAAUUCCAUCUAAAGCUAAAUAUUGGCGAGAGACCGAUAGCGAACAAGUACAGUGAUGGAAAGAUGAAAAGAACUUUGAAAAGAGAGUGAAAAAGUACGUGAAAUUGUUGAAAGGGAAGGGCAUUUGAUCAGACAUGGUGUUUUGUGCCCUCUGCUCCUUGUGGGUAGGGGAAUCUCGCAUUUCACUGGGCCAGCAUCAGUUUUGGUGGCAGGAUAAAUCCAUAGGAAUGUAGCUUGCCUCGGUAAGUAUUAUAGCCUGUGGGAAUACUGCCAGCUGGGACUGAGGACUGCGACGUAAGUCAAGGAUGCUGGCAUAAUGGUU